rnacentral:lncRNA from 1 species
ACACAAUGAAAAAAAGAUUCACACGUUGCAACGGAUCUUAUUGCAAUAAGAGCAAUAAAUUUCAGAAGUGGCAGACACCUAUCAUCAUCGGUAGUCACACCAAUUGGCGUAUCCAGGAACCUAGAGCAGGAGUUCAAACUAUUUUCCUUCAAAAAUAUUUUGCAUUAAAAUGUCUCUUAUAUUCUAGUUAGCAAUUAUUUUUUGAAUGAAAUUUUUUUAUUGAAAACGGCUUAAAUUAACAUAGUUUAAAAUAAUAUAAAUGGAAAAUAUUUUAAUAAAAAACAUGAUAUAUAAAAAUGUUCUACAAAAAUUAAUAGUUAGGUUAGUUCCUUACAAAAAAAAGUGUUAGUUAACUAUUUAAUUAUUUUACGGGCUUAAUUAAUUUUAUAAUUGUUUUAUAUAAUGGGUCAAGUAUAUGAAAUACAAAUCACUAUGCACACAUUUGUUUUUUAUUAUUAGAUCAAUAAAUUUUAUCAUUAGGUCAAAUGACCAAAAUAAUACUCUACUCAUUCUGGUUAUUAUUAUAAGCAAAAAAUAUUUUUUAAGUUUUUUUUUUCUGGUACAAACUUUUUAAGUUUAUUUAAAAAUUGGUGUAUCUGACACAUACUGUAUUAAAGACCACAUACAUCAAUUUUUCAAUGAACCGUAAAAGUAUUUUUUUUUGCUUAUAAUAAUAACCAAAGAGUAUAAUUUUUUUAAAUAAUUUAAAGGUAUCAGAGGAUCAAGUUCUGAAUAAUGUGAUCACAUAUUUUAGAAAAUGAAAAAAUAAAAUGUUUUCACAAAGUAAACUGCAACUAAAAUAGCAUGUUCUGAAUAAUGUGAUCAUAACAACUCACAGUUCAAGUCGAGCAAUAAAGGAUGUAUACUUCAUGAGUAACAUAGCAGACAGAGCCUGCAUAAAGUGAUUCAGUUUACUUUAGGGUUUAAAUUAAACACCAAAGAUAAAUAACAAAAACCAAAACCUAAAAAAUCAUCCUACAUUAAAAAGACAAACCAAAUCCAGGAAGAUUAAGCAAGCAAGGUUCUAUGAUUGCAAAAAAAUUGAAACAAAAAUCCAAAAAAGGAGGAAGAAAUGAAAAACCUUGUAAUAGGCAUCAAAAACUUGAUACUUG